CCCUUAGAUGUUCUGGGCCGCACGCGCGCUACACUGAUGCAUUCAACGAGCCUAUCCUUGACCGACAGGUCCGGGUAAUCUUUGAAUCUGCAUCGUGACGGGGAUAGAUUAUUGCAAUUAUUAAUCUUCAACGAGGAAUGCCUAGUAGGCGCAAGUCAUCAGCUUGCGUUGAUUACGUCCCUGCCCUUUGUACACACCGCCCGUCGCUACUACCGAUUGGAUGGCUUAGUGAGACCCUCGGACCGAUAGGCUGUCGCCGCGGCAACGUGGCGACCGGCCCGUCGGGAAGAAGGUCAAACUUGACUGUCUAGAGGAAGUAAAAGUCGUAACA
rnacentral:rRNA from 1 species